rfam:Pelodiscus sinensis unplaced genomic scaffold scaffold1120, whole genome shotgun sequence.
AGCUUUGCGCAGUGGCAGCAUCGUAGCCAAUGAGGUUAAUUCAAGGCACGAUUAUUGCUAAUUGAAAACUCCCUCUACCAGAGCCUCUCUUUUUGAAUCUUUCUAGCUAAUUUCAGGGUACUGUACUAGAGG